rnacentral:rRNA from 1 species
CUGUCCAACGUUAAUCGGGGCAGGGUGAGUCGACCCCUAAGGCGAGGCCGAAAGGCGUAGUCGAUGGGAAACGGGUUAAUAUUCCCGUACUUGGUGUUACUGCGAAGGGGGGACGGAGAAGGCUAUGUUGGCCGGGCGACGGUUGUCCCGGUUUAAGCGUGUAGGUGUGUGUUCCAGGUAAAUCCGGUUCACUUUAACACUGAGGCGUGAUGACGAGGCACUACGGUGCUGAAGCAACAAAUGCCCUGCUUCCAGGAAAAGCCUCUAAGCAUCAGGUAACAUCAAAUCGUACCCCAAACCGACACAGGUGGUCAGGUAGAGAAUACCAAGGCGCUUGAGAGAACUCGGGUGAAGGAACUAGGCAAAAUGGUGCCGUAACUUCGGGAGAAGGCACGCUGACAC